UACGUAGGGGGCAAGCGUUGUCCGGAAUCAUUGGGCGUAAAGAGCGCGUAGGCGGCCCUGUAAGUCCGCUGUGAAAGUCAAAGGCUCAACCUUUGAAAGCCGGUGGAUACUGCAGGGCUAGAGUCCGGAAGAGGCGAGUGGAAUUCCUGGUGUAGCGGUGGAAUGCGCAGAUAUCAGGAGGAACACCAAUAGCGAAGGCAGCUCGCUGGGACGGUACUGACGCUAAGGCGCGAAAGCGUGGGGAGCGAACAGG
rnacentral:rRNA from 1 species